GAUGAACGCUGGCGGCGUGCCUAAUACAUGCAAGUCGAGCGAAGCGGGGACGGGUGAGUAACACGUGGAUAACCUCCUAUAAGAAUGGGAUAACUUCGGGAAACCGGGGCUAAACCGGAUACUUAUAGAUGGAUCCGCGCUGCAUUAGCUAGUUGGUAAGGUAACGGCUGACCAAGGCAACGAUGCAUAGCACACCGGAGAGGAUGAUCAGUCACACUGGGAUUGAGACACGUCCCAGAUUCCUACGGUAGGCAGCAGUGGGGAAUAUUGCACAAUGGGCGCAAGCCUGAUGCAGCCAUGCCGCGUGUAUGAAGAAGGCCUUAGGGUUGUAAAGUACUUUCAGCGGGGAGGCGUUACCCGCAGAAGAAGCACCGGCUAACUCCGUGCCAGCAGCCGCGGUAAUAC
rnacentral:rRNA from 1 species